rnacentral:tRNA from 8 species
GGAGAAGUACCCAAGUGGCCGAAGGGGCUCCCCUGCUAAGGGAGUAGGGCGUGUUGAGCGUCGCGAGGGUUCAAAUCCCUCCUUCUCCGCCA